UGAUCAUGGCUCAGAUUGAACGCUGGCGGCAGGCCUAACACAUGCAAGUCGAGCGGAAANGACAACAUCGAUUCCUUCGGGGGANUUAAUGGGCGUCGAGCGGCGGACGGGUGAGUAAUGCCUAGGAAAUUGCCUUGAUGUGGGGGAUAACCAUUGGAAACGAUGGCUAAUACCGCAUAAUGCCUACGGGCCAAAGAGGGGGAUCUUCGGACCUCUCGCGUCAAGAUAUGCCUAGGUGGGAUUAGCUAGUUGGUGAGGUAAUGGCUCACCAAGGCGACGAUCCCUAGCUGGUCUGAGAGGAUGAUCAGCCACACUGGAACUGAGACACGGUCCAGACUCCUACGGGAGGCAGCAGUGGGGAAUAUUGCACAAUGGGCGAAAGCCUGAUGCAGCCAUGCCGCGUGUAUGAAGAAGGCCUUCGGGUUGUAAAGUACUUUCAGUUGUGAGGAAGGGUGUGUAGUUAAUAGCUGCAUCAUCUUGACGUUAGCAACAGAAGAAGCACCGGCUAACUC
rnacentral:rRNA from 1 species